rnacentral:rRNA from 1 species
AGUGGAUGGGGAGCAACCUAGUUGUGCGUGUGUAAAGGUAGUGCCAAGAAAAGCGAUGAUCAUGUUGAAAAUCAAUUCCCGGUACCCGAAACCGACACAGGUGGGCAAGUAGAGAAUACUAAGGGGCGCGAGGUAACUCUCUCCAAGGAACUCGGCAAAAUGACCCCGUAACUUAGGGAGAAGGGGUGCCACCGAGAGGUGGUCGCAGUGAAGAGGCCCAGGCGACUGUUUAGCAAAAACAUAGGUCUCUGCAAACUCGAAAGAGGAGGUAUAGGGGCUGACGCCUGCCCAGUGCCGGAAGGUUAAAGAAGUUGGUCAGUUUUAGGAUGAAGCUAGCGACUGAAGCCCCGGUGAACGGCGGCCGUAACUAUAACGGUCCUAAGGUAGCGAAAUUCCUUGUCGGGUAGUUCCGACCCGCACGAAAGGCGUAACGAUCUGGGCGCUGUCCCGGAGAGAGGCUCGGCGAAAUAGGAUUGUCUGUGAAGAUACGGACUACCUGCAUUUGGACAGAAAGACCCUAUGAAGCUUUACUAUAGCUUGGAAUUGUGUUCGGGCUUCCUGUGCGCAGGAUAGGUGGGAGGCGUAGAAGGUAUUCUUGUGGGGAUACUGGAGCCAACGGUGAGAUACCACUCUCAGGAGGCUAGAAUUCUAACUUAAUUAAGGACAGUUUCAGGAGGGUAGUUUGACUGGGGCGGUCGCCUCCAAAAAGGUAACGGAGGCGUACAAAGGUUCCCUCAGACUGGUUGGAAAUCAGUCGAAGAGUGCAAAGGCAGAAGGGAGCUUGACUGCGAGAAGUACAGUUCGAGCAGGGUGGAAACACGGUCUUAGUGAUCCGACGGUGCUGUGUGGAAGGGCCGUCGCUCAACGGAUAAAAGUUACUCUAGGAUAACAGGCUGAUCUCCCCCAAGAGUUCACAUCGACGGGGAGGUUUGGCACCUCGAUGUCGGCUCAUCGCAACCUGGGGCGGAAGUACGUCCCAAGGGUUGGGCUGUUCGCCCAUUAAAGCGGUACGUGAGCUGGGUUCAGAACGUCGUGAGACAGUUCGGUCCAUAUCCGAUGUAGGCGUGAGAAUAUUGAGAGGAGCCUUCCUUAGUACGAGAGGACCGGGAAGGACGCGCCGCUGGUGUACCUGUUAUGAUGCCAAUUGUAAACGCAGGGUAGCCAAGUGCGGAGAGGAUAACCGCUGAAAGCAUCUAAGUGGGAAGCCCACCUCAAGAUGAGUAUUCUGGUGUAAGGUCACGGGAAGACGACCCGUAAAUAGGCACGAGGUGGAAGUGCAGAGAUGUAUGAAGCCGAAGUGUACUAAUAGACCGUCGGCUUGACC